AGUGAACGCUGGCGGUAAGCCUAACACAUGCAAGUCGAACGGCAGCACAGGAGAGCUUGCUCUCUGGGUGGCGAGUGGCGGACGGGUGAGGAAUACAUCGGAAUCUACUUUUUCGUGGGGGAUAACGUAGGGAAACUUACGCUAAUACCGCAUACGACCUACGGGUGAAAGCAGGGGAUCUUCGGACCUUGCGCGAUUGAAUGAGCCGAUGUCGGAUUAGCUAGUUGGCGGGGUAAAGGCCCACCAAGGCGACGAUCCGUAGCUGGUCUGAGAGGAUGAUCAGCCACACUGGAACUGAGACACGGUCCAGACUCCUACGGGAGGCAGCAGUGGGGAAUAUUGGACAAUGGGCGCAAGCCUGGUCCAGCCAUACCGCGUGGGUGAAGAAGGCCUUCGGGUUGUAAAGCCCUUUUGUUGGGAAAGAAAUCCAGCUGGUUAAUACCCGGUUGGGAUGACGGUACCCAAAGAAUAAGCACCGGCUAACUUCGUGCCAGCAGCCGCCGUAA
rnacentral:rRNA from 1 species